CAAUAGCGUAUAUUAAAGUUGUUGCAGUUAAAAAGCUCGUAGUUGGAUUUCUGGAUGGAGCGACCGGUCGGGCAUUAAUUUGUCUGCACUGGAGUCGGUUCCGUCCAUCCUCUUGGAAAGUGCGUCGGGCAUUAAGUUGUUUGGCGUAUGAUCCAAGUCGUUUACUGUGAAAAAAUUAGAGUGUUUAAAGCAGGCCUUCGCCUUGAAUACAUUAGCAUGGAAUAAUAAGAUAGGACUUUGGUCUAUUUUGUUGGUUUGCGGACCGAAGUAAUGAUUAAUAGGGAUAGUUGGGGGUAUUUAUAUUCCGAUGUCAGAGGUGAAAUUCUUAGAUUUUCGGAAGAUAAACUUAUGCGAAAGCAUUUACCAAGGAUGUUUUCAUUAA
rnacentral:rRNA from 1 species